rnacentral:rRNA from 1 species
UACGGAGGGUGCAAGCGUUAUCCGGAUUCACUGGGUUUAAAGGGUGCGUAGGCGGAUAGGUAAGUCCGUGGUGAAAUCCUGCAGCUUAACUGCAGAACUGCCAUGGAUACUAUUUAUCUUGAAUGUCGUGGAGGUUAGCAGAAUAUGUCAUGUAGCGGUGAAAUGCUUAGAUAUGACAUAGAACACCGAUAGCGAAGGCAGCUUGCUACACGAGUAUUGACACUGAGGCACGAAAGCGUGGGGAUCAAACAGG